rnacentral:rRNA from 1 species
AUUGAACGCUGGCGGCAGGCCUAACACAUGCAAGUCGAGCGAGCGGCGGACGGGUGAGUAAUGUCUGGGGAUCUGCCCGAUAGAGGGGGAUAACUACUGGACACGGUGGCUAAUACCGCAUACUAUCGGAUGAACCCAUAUGGGAUUAGCUAGUAGGUGGGGUAACGGCUCACCUAGGCGACGAUCCCUAGCUGGUCUGAGAGGAUGAGCAGCCACACUGGGAUGGAGACACGGCCCAGACUCCUACGGGAGGCAGCAGUGGGGAAUAUUGCACAAUGGGCGCAAGCCUGAUGCAGCAAUGCCGCGUGUAGGAAGAAGGCCUUAGGGUUGUAAAGUACUUUCAGCGAGGAGGCGUUACUCGCAGAAGAAGCACCGGCUAACUCCGUGCCAGCAGCCGCGGUAAUAC